AGGACGAACGCUGGCGGCGUGCUUAACACAUGCAAGUCGAACGGUAAGGCCUUUCGGGGUACACGAGUGGCGAACGGGUGAGUAACACGUGGGUGAUCUGCCCUGCACUUUGGGAUAAGCCUGGGAAACUGGGUCUAAUACCGAAUAUGACCAUUGGUUGCAUGACUGGUGGUGGAAAGCUUUUGCGGUGUGGGAUGGGCCCGCGGCCUAUCAGCUUGUUGGUGGGGUUAAGGCCUACCAAGGCGACGACGGGUAGCCGGCCUGAGAGGGUGUCCGGCCACACUGGGACUGAGAUACGGCCCAGACUCCUACGGGAGGCAGCAGUGGGGAAUAUUGCACAAUGGGCGCAAGCCUGAUGCAGCGACGCCGCGUGAGGGACGACGGCCUUCGGGUUGUAAACCUCUUUCAGUAGGGACGAAGCGCAAGUGACGGUACCUACAGAAGAAGGACCGUCCAACUACGCGCCAGCAGCCGC
rnacentral:rRNA from 1 species